GUCGUCGUGACCGAGUGGUUAAGGCGACAGACUCGAAAUCUUUUGGGCUCUGCCAGCACAGGUUCGAAACCUGUCGGCGACG
rfam:Ciona intestinalis ciona1860, whole genome shotgun sequence.